rnacentral:misc_RNA from 1 species
CAGUAGUCUUUCUUGAUUUCUGUUUUUAAAUUCUGCUCUCUUUGUAGAGUCAAAUUUUUCUGUUAUUAUGAUCUUGAGUAUGUGUAGAUUAUUAGAAUACGCUGAAAUCUGAUUGGUACCAUUGAUUUCAGAAGGAAUCUUGGAGGACAGUCUUGCUAUUAGCAUACCAGAGUUUGGGAGUAGUAUAUGGUGAUCUGAGCAUCUCUCCUUUGUAUGUGUUCAAGAGCACAUUUGCCGAUGAUAUUCAUCAUUCAGAGACGAACGAGGAGGUUCUCGGCGUGCUAUCCUUUGUGUUUUGGACGCUUACACUUGUGACUCUG